rnacentral:rRNA from 1 species
AGAGUUUGAUCCUGGCUCAGGAUGAACGCUGGCGGCGUGCUUAACACAUGCAAGUCGAACGAACCUUCGGGUUAGUGGCGGACGGGUGAGUAACGCGUGGGAAUCUGCCCUCAGGAGGGGGAUAACGGUUGGAAACGGCCGCUAAUACCCCAUAUGCCGAGAGGUGAAAUGAAUUUCGCCUGAGGAUGAGCCCGCGUCUGAUUAGCUAGUUGGUGAGGUAAUGGCUCACCAAGGCAUCGAUCAGUAGCUGGUCUGAGAGGAUGAUCAGCCACACUGGGACUGAGACACGGCCCAGACUCCUACGGGAGGCAGCAGUGGGGAAUUUUCCGCAAUGGGCGAAAGCCUGACGGAGCAACGCCGCGUGAGGGAUGAAGGCCUCUGGGCUGUAAACCUCUUUUAUCAAGGAAGAAGAUCUGACGGUACUUGAUGAAUAAGCCACGGCUAAUUCCGUGCCAGCAGCCGCGGUAAUACGGGAGUGGCAAGCGUUAUCCGGAAUUAUUGGGCGUAAAGCGUCCGCAGGCGGCCCUUCAAGUCUGCUGUUAAAAAGUGGAGCUUAACUCCAUCAUGGCAGUGGAAACUGAGGGGCUUGAGUGUGGUAGGGGCAGAGGGAAUUCCCGGUGUAGCGGUGAAAUGCGUAGAUAUCGGGAAGAACACCAGUGGCGAAGGCGCUCUGCUGGGCCAUCACUGACGCUCAUGGACGAAAGCCAGGGGAGCGAAAGGGAUUAGAUACCCCUGUAGUCCUGGCCGUAAACGAUGAACACUAGGUGUCGGGGGAAUCGACCCCCUCGGUGUCGUAGCCAACGCGUUAAGUGUUCCGCCUGGGGAGUACGCACGCAAGUGUGAAACUCAAAGGAAUUGACGGGGGCCCGCACAAGCGGUGGAGUAUGUGGUUUAAUUCGAUGCAACGCGAAGAACCUUACCAGGGUUUGACAUCCUGCGAAUCUCUUGGAAACGAGAGAGUGCCUUCGGGAGCGCAGUGACAGGUGGUGCAUGGCUGUCGUCAGCUCGUGUCGUGAGAUGUUGGGUUAAGUCCCGCAACGAGCGCAACCCACGUCUUUAGUUGCCAGCAUUUAGUUGGGCACUCUAGAGAGACCGCCGGUGAUAAACCGGAGGAAGGUGUGGAUGACGUCAAGUCAUCAUGCCCCUUACAUCCUGGGCUACACACGUACUACAAUGCUACGGACAAAGGGCAGCAAGUUCGCGAGGACAAGCAAAUCCCAUAAACCGUAGCUCAGUUCAGAUCGUAGGCUGCAACUCGCCUACGUGAAGGAGGAAUCGCUAGUAAUCGCAGGUCAGCAUACUGCGGUGAAUACGUUCCCGGGCCUUGUACACACCGCCCGUCACACCAUGGAAGUUGGCCAUGCCCGAAGCCGUUACUCCAACCCUUGUGGAGGAGGACGUCGAAGGUGGGGCUGAUGACUGGGGUGAAGUCGUAACAAGGUAACC